GCAGUCGUGGCCGAGUGGUUAAGGCGAUGGACUUGAAAUCCAUUGGGAUCUCCCUUCGUAGGUUCGAAUCCUACCGACUGCG
rnacentral:tRNA from 1 species